rnacentral:rRNA from 1 species
GAACGCUGGCGGCGUGCUUACCACAUGCAAGUCGAACGGAAAGGCCCUGCUUUUGUGGGGUGCUCGAGUGGCGAACGGGUGAGUAACACGUGAGUAACCUGCCCUUGACUUUGGGAUAACUUCAGGAAACUGGGGCUAAUACCGGAUAGGAGCUCCUGCUGCAUGGUGGGGGUUGGAAAGUUUCGGCGGUUGGGGAUGGACUCGCGGCUUAUCAGCUUGUUGGUGGGGUAGUGGCUUACCAAGGCUUUGACGGGUAGCCGGCCUGAGAGGGUGACCGGCCACAUUGGGACUGAGAUACGGCCCAGACUCCUACGGGAGGCAGCAGUGGGGAAUAUUGCACAAUGGGCGGAAGCCUGAUGCAGCAACGCCGCGUGCGGGAUGACGGCCUUCGGGUUGUAAACCGCUUUCGCCUGUGACGAAGCGUGAGUGACGGUAAUGGGUAAAGAAGCACCGGCUAACUACGUG